UACGUAGGGUGCAAGCGUUGUCCGGAAUUAUUGGGCGUAAAGAGCUCGUAGGCGGUUUGUCGCGUCUGCCGUGAAAGUCCGGGGCUCAACUCCGGAUCUGCGGUGGGUACGGGCAGACUAGAGUGAUGUAGGGGAGACUGGAAUUCCUAGUGUAGCGGUGAAAUGCGCAGAUAUCAGGAGGAACACCGAUGGCGAAGGCAGGUCUCUGGGCAUUAACUGACGCUGAGGAGCGAAAGCAUGGGGAGCGAACAGG
rnacentral:rRNA from 1 species